rnacentral:lncRNA from 10 species
GGGCAUGCAUCACGAAGUUCUCGUGCCAUGGUUUUCAGCUCCAUCAGGUCAUUUAAGGUCUUCUCUACACUGUUUAUUCUAGUUAGCCAUUCGUCUAAUCUUUUUUCAAGGUUUUUAGCUUCCUUGCAAUGGGUUCAAACAUCCUCCUUUACCUUGGAGGAGUUUGUUAUUACCGACCUUGUGAAGCCUGCUUCUGUCAACUCAUCAGUCAUUCUCAGUCCAGUUUUCUUCUUGCCAUUGCUGGCAAGGAGCUGCAAUCCUCUGGAGGAGAAGAGGCACUAUGAUUUUUAGAAUUUUCAGCUUUUCUGCUCUGGUUUUUCCCCAUCUUUGUUGUUUUAUCUACCUCUGGUCUUUGAUGUUGGUGACCUACAGAUGGGGUUUUGGUGUAGAUGACCUUUUUGUUGAUGUUGAUGCUAUUCCUUUCUGUUUGUUAGUUUUCCUUCUAACAGUCAGGACCCUCAGCUGCAGGUCUGUUGGAGUUUGCUGGAGGUCCACUCCAGACCCUGUUUACCUGGGUAUCACCAGCAGAGGCUGCAGAACAGCAAAUAUUGCUGCCUGAUCCUUCCUCUGGAAGCUUUGUCCCAGAGGUGCAGCCGCCUAUAUGAGGAUACUCAAACCAAAAGUAUUAUUUCAGAGACCAGUAAUAAAAUUGACGCUGAAAUUGCUUCCUUAAAAACACUGAUGGAAUCUAACAAACUUGAGACAAUUCGUUAUCUUGCAGCUUCGGUGUUUACUUGCCUGGCAAUAGCAUUGGGAUUUUAUAGAUUCUGGAAGUAGUAUUAAUGCUCAUCCUGCUGUGGCUGUUGGCUUCUUAGAACACCAAACCGGGAGAGAUUUACUUUGAACAUUGUCAGUUGCAGCAAAAAUUUACUACACAAGAUUAUUCGAAGUGUAUACGGACUAAAAGAGGAAGUGUUUUAGAAUGAGAAGAGAUACUGUGUCUUUAUUGUGUGUGUGUGAGUGCAGGUGUGUGUCUUUAUUAUAUUGAAAAGCUGUCACUCAGACCUGGUUUGAGAUAGAAGAGCAUUUUGUCCUUUUGAUAGUUAAUAGAAAUUGAACCAGAGUUUUCUUAUGUUUGCUUGAACAGUUGUGUAAAUCAUACAGGAUUUUGUGGGUAUUGGUUGAAUAUUUGUAAACCAUUCCCUAGCCUACAUAUUUAUUACUGAAUUAACUUUCCUGAUAACCAUUGCAUAAUUACAUUUUUCUAUAAAAUGAAAGAUUAUUACAACAAA